GACGAACGCUGGGCGGCGCGCCUAACACAUGCAAGUUCGAACGGAGCUUAGAGAGCUUCGCUUUUUCGAGCUUAGCGGCGAAACGGGCGAGUAACGCGCGAGUAACCUGCCCUAGAGUCGGGGGACAACAGUCGGAAAACGACUGCUAAUACCGCAUAAGCCCACGGUACCGCAUGGUACUGAGGGAAAAGGAUUUAUUCGCUUUAGGAUGGACUCGCGUCCAAUUAGCUAGUUGGUGAGGUAACGGCCCACCAAGGCGACGAUUGGUAGCCGGACUGAGAGGUUGAACGGCCACAUUGGGACUGAGACACGGCCCAGACUCCUACGGGAGGCAGCAGUGGGGGAUAUUGCACAAUGGGGGAAACCCUGAUGCAGCGACGCCGCGCGGAGGAAGAAGGUUUUCGGAUUGUAAACUCCUGUCGUUAGGGACGAUAAUGACGGUACCUAACAAGAAAGCACCGGCUAACUACGUGCCAGCAGCCGCGGUAAAACGUAGGGUGCAAGCGUUGUCCGGAAUUACUGGGUGUAAAGGGAGCGCAGGCGGGAAGACAAGUUGGAAGUGAAAACCAUGGGCUCAACCCAUGAAUUGCUUUCAAAACUGUUUUUCUUGAGUAGUGCAGAGGUAGAUGGAAUUCCCGGUGUAGCGGUGGAAUGCGUAGAUAUCGGGAGGAACACCAGUGGCGAAGGCGGUCUACUGGGCACCAACUGACGCUGAGGCUCGAAAGCAUGGGUAGCAAACAGGAUUAGAUACCCUGGUAGUCCAUGCCGUAAACGAUGAUUACUAGGUGUUGGGGGAUUGACCCCCUCAGUGCCGCAGUUAACACAAUAAGUAAUCCACCUGGGGAGUACGACCGCAAGGUUGAAACUCAAAGGAAUUGACGGGGGCCCGCACAAGCAGUGGAGUAUGUGGUUUAAUUCGAAGCAACGCGAAGAACCUUACCAGGUCUUGACAUCCGAUGCAUAGCACAGAGAUGUGUGAAAUCCUUCGGGACAUCGAGACAGGUGGUGCAUGGUUGUCGUCAGCUCGUGUCGUGAGAUGUUGGGUUAAGUCCCGCAACGAGCGCAACCCUUAUUGCCAGUUACUACGUUAAGAGGACUCUGGCGAGACUGCCGUUGACAAAACGGAGGAAGGUGGGGAUGACGUCAAAUCACCAUGCCCUUUAUGACCUGGGCUACACACGUACUACAAAUGGCGUUAAACAAAAGAGAAGCAAAGACCGCGAGGUGGAGCAAAAACUCAAAAAACAAACGUCUCAAGUUCAGAUUGCAAGGCUGCAACUCGCCUGCAUGAAGUUCGAAAUUGCUAGUUAAUCGCGAUUCACCAUGCCGCGGUGAAUACGGUUCCCGGGCC
rnacentral:rRNA from 1 species